rnacentral:rRNA from 1 species
CAUGCCGUAAACGAUGGGCACUAGGUGUGGGGAACAUUUCCACGUUUUCCGCGCCGUAGCUAACGCAUUAAGUGCCCCGCCUGGGGAGUACGGCCGCAAGGCUAAAACUCAAAGGAAUUGACGGGGGCCCGCACAAGCGGCGGAGCAUGCGGAUUAAUUCGAUGCAACGCGAAGAACCUUACCAAGGCUUGACAUACACUGGACCGCCUCAGAGAUGGGGUUUCCCUUCGGGGCUGGUGUACAGGUGG